CCUACGGGUGGCAGCAGUGGGGAAUAUUGGGCAAUGGAGGCAACUCUGACCCAGCAACGCCGCGUGAAUGAUGAAGGUCUUCGGAUUGUAAAGUUCUUUUUUAAGGGAAGAAGAAAGUGACGGUACCUUAGGAAUAAGCCUCGGCUAACUACGUGCCAGCAGCCGCGGUAAUACGGAGGAGGCAAGCGUUAUCCGGAAUGACUGGGCGUAAAGGGUGCGUAGGUGGUUUGACAAGUUAGUAGCGCAACUCCGGAGCUCAACUUGGGAACUGCUACUAAAACUGGUGGACGUGAGUGCAGGGGGGGCAAGCGGAAUUCGUAGUGUAGCGGUGGAAUGCGUAGAUAUUAGGAGGAACACCAGUGGCGAAGGCGGAUUGCUGGACUGUAACUGACGCUGAUGCACGAAAGCGUGGGGAGCGAACAGGAUUAGAUACCCUUGUAGUC
rnacentral:rRNA from 1 species